UACAGCAAUAAAAUGGCUGCUUUUGAGAGAAAACAAGACUUCCCAGCUGAAUGAUAACCUGCUGGCAGCGUGAUAAAAAAUUAUGGUUGGUCAGGAGCACCAUGAAGGAAUCACUGAAGUACCUCGUAAUGGAGAAUACUAGUAAAGGAUUCUACAGAAAGCAAUUGCCUCCGCAGCUCUGCGUGCCAAGUACAUGUUGCUUAAAAUAAUGUGUCAUAACAUGCGUCUUACAUCUACACCCGCUCUUUUAUCCUCUGGAUGAACAUGACUCAGGUUCCGGGGGAGGGAGUGCAAGAGAGAAGAGGAAGGAAGAAUUAUGUUUAGUUCAGCCAACAUCAGUAUUCCAGUCAUAAGAAAACAGAAAACCUAGUUCUGUAAAGAGGCACUCAGUCAUCAAGAUACAGAAAAAUGGUGAAUCUCCAUGUGCAGAAGUAUGCUGUCACAAUGGCCAGUACUUUGGAAAAGACCCGUGGUACUGUGGAGAGUCCAAAGUGGAGCACCUUGUAUUCAAAAUGUUUGUUGUUCACCACAAAGCAAAGGUAUUUUCAGUAUGCAGGAUGAAUCAAUGCAUAAAAGUAGCAUCUUGCCAGUAGAGGGUUGACAACCAAUCUCCUUUCUCUAAGGCAGGGAUUAUUGUAGAUAGGGUGACCAUCUUGAAAUUUUGUCUUGUAAUCAUACCUAGCUGUGUUGUGUGCAAGAUAUUUAUUAUUAAUAACACUUAAGUUUGCGCAUACUAUGUGCAUUGUAUCUAGUGCCUUUUUUCUACAGCCUCAAGUCUGGCAAUUGGUAUUCUGUAAACACAAAGGUACAAUGCAAUUAUAGUUGCAGCAUCUGCCUUUGACUAGAAAUGGAUCAAAAGUUAAA